CAGCUCAAAUUUGAAAUCUGGCUCUUUCAGGGUCCGAGUUGUAAUUCGUAGAGAGUGUUUCGGGUGAGACCGCGGUCCAAGUCCAUUGGAACAUGGCGUCAUAGAGGGUGAGAAUCCCGUAUGUGACUGUGGCUCGAGCCUAUGUGAAGCCUCUUCGACGAGUCGAGUUGUUUGGGAAUGCAGCUCAAAAUGGGUGGUAAAUUUCAUCUAAAGCUAAAUACUGGCUGGAGACCGAUAGCGCACAAGUAGAGUGAUCGAAAGAUGAAAAGCACUUUGGAAAGAGAGUCAAACAGUACGUGAAAUUGUUGAAAGGGAAGCGCUUGCAACCAGACCUGUGUCCGUAGGUGAUCAGCCAUUGUUCUCAGUGGUGCACUCGCUCUACGAUCAGGCCAGCAUCGAUUCUGGCGGCCGGAUAAAGGCUUUGGGAAUGUAGCUCCCCCCCGGGAGUCUUAUAGCCCUCGGUGCAAUGCGGCCAGCUGGGAUCGAGGACCGCGCUUCG
rnacentral:rRNA from 1 species